rnacentral:rRNA from 1 species
AGGACGAACGCUGGCGGCGUGCUUAACACAUGCAAGUCGAGCGGUAAGGCCUUUCGGGGUACACGAGCGGCGAACGGGUGAGUAACACGUGGGUGAUCUGCCCCGCCACUCUGGGAGUAAGCCUGGGAAACGUGGGUCUAAUACCGGAUAUGACCUGCUCUCGCAUGGGGGGUGGGGUGGAAAGAUUUAUCGGGUGCAGGAUCGGGGCCCG